UAGAGUGUUGAGAUUGUGUUU
ensembl:piRNA 21ur-4286 ncRNA